AAAACCUCACCUGAGUAUACAGACACUCAUUUAGCAGCAGGACAGUGAAGAGUACAGUUGGAUUAUUGUUUCCUCCUGGACAUUUACACACGCCUCACAUAGUAUGGGACUCAGACGGACAGCAAAAGUCAGGGGUGCAGGCCAAUCAUCAUGCUGCCUCCAGGACCACGCGGUCGGACGAGGACAGGGAUGCAGGCUGGGAUGCGUGGGGCACCUGGAGCGAGUGCUCACGCACCUGUGGGGGAGGAGCUUCCUACUCACUACGCAGAUGUCUGAACGGAAGAAACCGGCAGAAAUAGGCAGAAAUAUCCAGUACCGCACGUCCAGCAA